AUGACGAGGCAUGAAGCAAAUAUUGAUGAUGAUAGGUGCGAAGAAGAAGAGGCUAGAGACAUAUCUGCACGCGAAGCUGCUAUGCCUGCAGAUCAGCAUGUAGUUUCAGGUGCAUGUAUCCCUUUUGAUGACUUGAUGCUUAGACUUCAGAAUGAUCCAAGAGUAGCUCUAUACGACGGCGUAGAAACGGAUUAUGAUGAUAUAGACUGGGACCUGGAUCUAGGACAAUAUGGUGCUGAACUUAUUCGACCAUUGAGUCAAGGAUCUGUGGCAUUUCAUUUGGAAGAAACUACAGGGGAGGCCGACAAUCAGACCCGGGCGGUCUGGGGGAGCACGUUUGCCUCUCGCCUACUGAGCGAUGCCCAGUUCUCUCCUGCUGGUGAAAUUCAAACCCAGGUAUGCCAGGAACAUCAAACAUUGGCGCGAAGCUCAAAAACAGUUGCUGCUAGGGCUAGGGCUCUACAUUGUCAUCGCCAAACCAGCAAGUCAAAGAUUUCGGAGCCUGCUGCUACCGAGCCUGCCAAAGCUUCUUCCUAUCAGACACACGGCCGAGCUCGGAAGAGCAAAACCUCUUCGCUAUCCUGUCACAAAUCAACCAACGCAGUACAUGUUGCUGUGUUACAUAAUGAUAAACCAUGUGUAACUCGCAAGCAGUCGGGAAAGAGGCCCUCGAAGCUAGUGUUGCCCUUCCAGAGUAAAGUCAAAAAAGGUGCAAAAAAGACAGCUGCAGAGACACUUGAUAGGAAGGAAGAAGCUGCAAAAAUGAAGGCUGCAGAGGCUGAAGCAAGGAAGAAGGCAGCUGCCGCGAAGAAAGGAGCAAGGAAGCUAGCAGCUGCGAUGAAGAGGGCAGAUGGUAAAGAGGCCAAGAAGAAAGCAUCUGCAGAGAAGAAAACCCCAUCUACUGCUAAAACAAUAAAAGAGAACUUCGGUUUUGACAUUUUCAGGGCUUAG
rnacentral:rRNA from 1 species